UGGGAGCAGAUAGAAUCAGUGGUGGUUUGCUGUAAAAGAUACUGCUUUCUGUAACACUUAACCACCACAUUAACAGGCCAGAUGAGAAAGCCAAAGCUGAUUUGUGUCAUUUCAAAUUAACUGUAAUUUCAGCGGAACGCUAAUGCACAAGCAUGUUAUUUUGUAUGAUUAUUAACUUGCCUUUUAACUCUUGGGACAUAUUUUACUUCAUCUUGUGACACUUGAUAUUUGUUAGGAAAUUAUGAGUAGUUGUGCAAGUAUUUAAAUUAUAGUAGAACUCUGCCUUUUAUUGCAUGGAUGUAACUGUACUAGAAGAGUCAAAUGUUUAGUAAAACAUACCUUUAUACAUUUUGAAAAAAUGAAAAGAGUAUAAAAGAUUUGGUUUUUGAUUGUCUACUAUCUGACAGAUUUUAAAUAUGAAUGUUUUCCUUGGGCAAAUGGCUUAAUUUUCACCAUAUCUGGAAAACACUGAAACACACAAAUUAAUUUUUUCCCUAAACUUAACAAUUAUGCCAAUAGUUAUUAGGCAUUAUGUAAAAAAUAAAAACAUCCCAAGUGUAUACAAAUGUUACAAUCUUAAGGAAAUUUAAAAUCGUUACUGACAACAAAAUUAAUGGCAUAAUGUACAGCUAUCACUAUAAUUAGUAAAAGCCUGAUUUGAUAUAAGCUGUCUAUUGAUCAAGUGCUUAUAUCCUAUCCACUAUACAGCUUGGGAGUUAGGAGAGCUGACCCCCUGCACAAUUGAAAAUUGGCAUAUAACUUGACUUCUCCAAAACUUAACACCCUACUUUUGACUUCUUAGAAGCCUUACCAGUAACAUAAAUAGUCAAUUAGUACAUGUUUUGUAUGUUAUACUAUUUAUAGAUUGUAUUCUUAAAUAAAAUAAAAAAGAAAAAAGAAAAUAUUAAGAAAAUCAUAAGAAAAAUACAUUUACAGUACUGUCCAGUAUUUCUUUUAAGAAUCUAUGUGUAAGUGGACCUGCAAAGUUCAAACCCUUAUUUUUCAAGGGUCAACUUUACUUAAUCAUAAUGCUAGGUAACUUUUAAGGGCAGUGUUUAAACAGGAAGAGAGAGAUCAUUGUAAGUUUUGCUCUAAGAUAAAAACUGCAACUAUUUAUAUUUGUGGAAUUUUGAGUGUUAAAUGAGUGGAUAUCUUUCACUGUCAAGGCUAAGUCUGUACAGAGACAGGUUACUGACCAUGCUUAGAAUAAAAGAUCUCUUUGAGAACCUAAUGGAAUGCUGUAGAUCUUUUCUCCAGAAAAGCACCUAUUGCAUUUUUUAAAAACUAAAUGGCCAAUGGUAUGUUUUGAUUGCCAUCAAAUGGAGAUGGGAUGCGGGAAAAUACUGGUCCUGUAAAAGUACUCCUUUCUCCUUUAGCGGCAUGCUCAUUCAACUCUUAUCUUUACAUUCCAGUAAGUUAUUUUGCUCUCACUGCUUAACAGCAAUGAUGACAAAAAAACAUAAAAAUCCUUGUAUACCUUAUUCAAUUGAAGAUUUUUUAUCUUUUUUAUUUAUCAUUAUAAAACCAAGAACAACUUUUAAACUUUUUGUACAUAGCUAUUAUUACAUGUAGGGCAAUCUCUCUUUAAAUAGGGAUAAAUUACUCCAAAAGAAAUGAGUCCUAGGUAGUUUUCCCUUCAAGUCAAGCAUCUUGUUGAAAUAAACUGCCUACUUAAAAAAAAAAAGUGUUCAUGCAGUUAUG